UGCGGGAUGCCGAAGUCGGGUCCCGAGCUUAACAAACUCGCUGAUAUUCGGGAGAUUGAACAUGGCU
rnacentral:sRNA from 1 species